rnacentral:lncRNA from 1 species
AGUAAGUCAGUUUGCUCUGGCCUUCUCUCUUCCUCUCUUCUACUUUCUGUUUUUCUGCACUCUUCUCCCUCUUUUCUCUGCACCAUUCCUUCCCUUCUUCCUCCAUCUGCCCUUCCCUCUUCUGCUGUUCCGUCUGUUCUCCUCGCCCUCUCUUUCUUUCCCUUGCCAUUUUUAGAUCAGCUCUCCUUACGCGUAUCCUCUCUUCUGUUUUGCCCUCUUUCUUCCCCCCCUCUCAUUCAUCACUCUUCUGUUCUUCCCCCUUACAAGCUCCUCUCUUCCCUUUUUUCUUUGUUCUGCUCGAUCUUUUCUCUCCUCUCCUUCUCUGCUCUCCUCUUUAUUGUCCCUGCUCCUCUCUCUGUCCUCCACUUUUCCCUUCUUUCUUCUCAUUUAUUCACCUUUAUAUUCCCAGGGAGGACUGCUCAGGAGACUACAGGAACGUUCUGCUGAAGCUCUGUGGCAGUGAGGAUUGAAGGAUUCCUGGUGUACGUCCCGCGUUAUGGGAAGGAGGGGAUCAUAAGGAUUUCUCUCAGUGCUCGGGGCUUUUCUGAGCUGCAGGCUCGCUGUCGCCCUGUGGCAUAGCCUUGCAUCUGGUGACGGACUGAAGCUGGAGAAUCCUGGCAGCAGAGGACGCUCCUGCCCCACAGAAGGGCUCACAGCUCCACCGCAGCUCCACCGACCUCAGUGCUGGUGAGGAGGCUGAGAUGCCUCCAAGUGAUGAAUGCAGUGCACCCAACCUUACACCUCGUGUGGUUCACUGUGCGAGGCGACCAGGAAGAAAGGUGGGCACAGGAUAUUUUACAGGUUCUGACUCAGGUUCAGAGAUUUUAAGUUUACCGUCUGGAAUUAAAGCCUUCUUCAACUGCCUGUUCUGCCACCUGAUCCGCCAUCUUAUCUCCAGUUUCCUGUACAGUGCUACCUUUCUGGUGUCCUUUACAGAGUAUAAUAGCCAUGCUCUUUGGUAGAUGUACAUCAUACUGAAUGUUUUCCUUGUGUGUGAGCAAUCCUUGCUCUUUCCAGAGGGCACUAUGAGCGUGUUCCACCCCAAAAGCAUGUUUAGCAUCUGACCAUGUAUUUAAGGCUCUUGUCAAGGCAGUUAUUGCAGCCUUCUGAGCCAAGUCCCCACAGGCAAUGGUUGUUCGAUUACCUGGUCAGUAGCAGUUACUGCAUAUCCUGCCUUACGGUUGCCUCGUCUCACAACACUGCUUCUGUCGGAUGAACCCAGGAAUCCUCAGCACUGUCCAAUGGUUCCUCCUGUAGGUCUGGCCGACUGGCACAGUCAGUCUCCAAGCAGUCGCACGCUGCCGGUUUGGAGGUAGUUCUGUGUUGGUGUUAGAAUCAUGGAAUGGCCUGGGUUGAGAAGGACCUCAAAGAUCGUCCAGUUCCAACCCCCUGCUAUGUGCAGGGUCACCAACUGACGGACCAGGCUGCCCAGAGCCUUGUCUUGAAUAAGAUUGUUUUUAGGCGAACAAAAACUUUGGAUCACCUUUCAAAUAC